GAGGUUGAAGCUGGGGGAUGAAGGAGGAAACACUGGGAAGGACAGAGCAGCAGCCCCAGAAGAAACGAUGCCCAGUCUGGGCAGAGAAGAGCCAGUGCCUGAGGCAGCUGGUGAAGGCAAAAGUGAUCGUAAAUCUGAUGUUAUGACUGCUCUGACUUCCAGUUCCAGGAACAGUCCUCAAGGUCCAGUUUUGACAACACUGGCUGCCAGCAGAACUGAGGUAG